CUUCAAGCACACACAGCAAAUAUAAAAAAGAAUCCAGAUUUGACUUGCAUAAACAUAAUAGAACACAAAAGAUAAACAUCCCACAUAAUGAAGAUACCGGGUUCUGUUUUAUAAGAAUCUCAGAGUAUGUUACAUCAGUAUCCCUAACUUCUACAGAGUUCAGAAUUUAGCCUCUUUCAUUACCUGCAGGUGCUAUCUCUUUAGCUAUUUAGUCACCACUAAAAUGUUCUACUUUGGGUGCACCCUUUUAUAAGAGCCUUUCCCAGCAUGCUCCCUCCUAUGGUAGUUGACCCUUUAAAUCUGGGGAAGACAGCCAAUUGCAGCCUUAGACUGUCCAUUUUGUAGGUGACUGGAUAAGCCUGCAACUCUUUUCUUCUAAAGCUCAAGGAUGGAGUUUCAAGAGCCAAAUGAGUUGGAACUCACCUCAGCAGUUUAAUGAUAAGGUCUCCUUAAUCCCAGGGUCAAGAAAACCAGAAAGAAUGAUCAGUAUUGCCCAGAGCCUGGCUAACACUACAGUUCCAUGGAAAUAAAUUUAAUCCUGAACUUCUGGAGGUUGCAAGGAAAAAGACACAGGUUCAACACUCCCAGGAACUCACCAAGUAUAGAACGGCUUUAGCAAGAGCCUUGGAAGACUUUUUUGUCAAAGGGAAAUGGGGAGUGGAGGAGUCGUCAAGCUUACCAGAAGUUAGGGUAUGUUUUUGUCUAAAGUGAAUUCUCUUCUCUCUCUGAACCUACACAUCUCUUAAAUCCGCUUCUUACUGUGCUUUCUAACUCAUCCCGCUGGUAAAUCCUGAUUUACAGAACAGCAGAGUAGCACUGGAGAAGUAACUAGUACAAAGCGUAAGAGGGAAAUCUCAGCAGCCCUGCACUCCCCCUGCCAAAAACAGGCUGGAGAGCAGAACGGCUCAUUUGUCUGGAGAGUAUUUGACUGUACAUGAAAAAAUAUAUAGAUUCAGAAGUCACUCUAACUAUAAAUUGUACGUUUUAAAGAA